UAAUACGAAGGGUGCAAGCGUUACUCGGAAUUACUGGGCGUAAAGCGUGUGCAGGUGGUUUGUUAAGUCUGCUGUGAAAGCCCCGGGCUCAACCUGGGAAUGGCAGUGGAGACUGGCAAGCUAGAGUGCGGUAGAGGAUAGUGGAAUUCCCGGUGUAGCGGUGAAAUGCGUAGAGAUCGGGAGGAACACCAGUGGCGAAGGCGGCUAUCUGGACCAGCACUGACACUCAGACACGAAAGCGUGGGGAGCAAACAGGAUUAGAUACCCUGGUAGUCCACGCCCUAAACGAUGCGAACUGGACGUUGGGUGCAACUUGGCACUCAGUGUCGAAGCUAACGCGUUAAGUUCGCCGCCUGGGGAGUACGGUCGCAAGACUG
rnacentral:rRNA from 1 species